rnacentral:rRNA from 1 species
UGAACGCUGGCGGCAUGCCUUACACAUGCAAGUCGAACGGCAGCACGGGUGCUUGCACCUGGUGGCGAGUGGCGAACGGGUGAGUAAUACAUCGGAACAUGUCCUGUAGUGGGGGAUAGCCCGGCGAAAGCCGGAUUAAUACCGCAUACGAUCUACGGAUGAAAGCGGGGGACCUUCGGGCCUCGCGCUAUAGGGUUGGCCGAUGGCUGAUUAGCUAGUUGGUGGGGUAAAGGCCUACCAAGGCGACGAUCAGUAGCUGGUCUGAGAGGACGACCAGCCACACUGGGACUGAGACACGGCCCAGACUCCUACGGGAGGCAGCAGUGGGGAAUUUUGGACAAUGGGCGAAAGCCUGAUCCAGCAAUGCCGCGUGUGUGAAGAAGGCCUUCGGGUUGUAAAGCACUUUUGUCCGGAAAGAAAUCCUUGGCUCUAAUACAGUCGGGGGAUGACGGUACCGGAAGAAUAAGCACCGGCUAACUACGUGCCAGCAGCCGCGGUAAUACGUAGGGUGCGAGCGUUAAUCGGAAUUACUGGGCGUAAAGCGUGCGCAGGCGGUUUGCUAAGACCGAUGUGAAAUCCCCGGGCUCAACCUGGGAACUGCAUUGGUGACUGGCAGGCUAGAGUAUGGCAGAGGGGGGUAGAAUUCCACGUGUAGCAGUGAAAUGCGUAGAGAUGUGGAGGAAUACCGAUGGCGAAGGCAGCCCCCUGGGCCAAUACUGACGCUCAUGCACGAAAGCGUGGGGGAGCAAACAGGAUUAGAUACCCUGGUAGUCCACGCCCUAAACGAUGUCAACUAGUUGUUGGGGAUUCAUUUCCUUAGUAACGUAGCUAACGCGUGAAGUUGACCGCCUGGGGAGUACGGUCGCAAGAUUAAAACUCAAAGGAAUUGACGGGGACCCGCACAAGCGGUGGAUGAUGUGGAUUAAUUCGAUGCAGCGCGAAAAACCUUACCUACCCUUGACAUGGUCGGAAUCCUGCUGAGAGGUGGGAGUGCUCGAAAGAGAACCGGCGCACAGGUGCUGCAUGGCUGUCGUCAGCUCGUGUCGUGAGAUGUUGGGUUAAGUCCCGCAACGAGCGCAACCCUUGUCCUUAGUUGCUACGCAAGAGCACUCUAAGGAGACUGCCGGUGACAAACCGGAGGAAGGUGGGGAUGACGUCAAGUCCUCAUGGCCCUUAUGGGUAGGGCUUCACACGUCAUACAAUGGUCGGAACAGAGGGUUGCCAACCCGCGAGGGGGAGCUAAUCCCAGAAAACCGAUCGUAGUCCGGAUUGCACUCUGCAACUCGAGUGCAUGAAGCUGGAAUCGCUAGUAAUCGCGGAUCAGCAUGCCGCGGUGAAUACGUUCCCGGGUCUUGUACACACCG